rnacentral:rRNA from 1 species
UACGAAGGGGGCUAGCGUUGUUCGGAAUUACUGGGCGUAAAGCGCGCGCAGGCGGUCUUCCAAGUCAGUGGUGAAAGCCCGGAGCUCAACUCCGGAACUGCCAUUGAAACUGUUGGACUUGAGUACGAGAGAGGUGAGUGGAAUUCCCAGUGUAGAGGUGAAAUUCGUAGAUAUUGGGAAGAACACCGGUAGCGAAGGCGGCUCACUGGCUCGUAACUGACGCUCAGGCGCGACAGCGUGGGGAUCAAACAGG